UACGGGGGGGGCAAGCGUUGUUCGGAAUUACUGGGCGUAAAGGGCUCGUAGGCGGCCAACUAAGUCGGAUGUGAAAUCCCCAGGCUUAACCUGGGAACUGCAUCCGAUACUGGAUGGCUUGAAUUCGGGAGAGGGAUGCAGAAUUCCAGGUGUAGCGGUGAAAUGCGUAGAUAUCUGGAGGAAUACCGGUGGCGAAGGCGGCAUCCUGGACCGAAAUUGACGCUGAGGCGCGAAAGCCAGGGGAGCAAACGGG
rnacentral:rRNA from 1 species